AACUGGGGAAGUCUUGCACUGAUACAUUUAUGACGUUUACAAAACCAAAAUCCUCCUAUGAUGGAUCUCCAGUCAAAGCUGAAAAGCUGCCAACCAAGAGAAAGUUAGCUGCAGACUUCCUUAGUGACCCAAGGCUUGAGAAAAGAAGAAACUGGAUACAAAGACUUUGAACAAUUUAUAGUUACCAGUUAUUUCAGCCAGUCCUCAAAUGAUAUCUCAUUCCGAUACAUGUAUGGGAAGGUAAAUAUUCAGGCUGCAGUCAAAGACCACGACUAUUGCCAGAUGCCUUUUACUGAGCACUGGGUGGACAAUUCCAUAAAGGUACGUGUAAUGGAUUUUGUGAAAUAAAUCUAACUCUUAUGAUUUUAGCUGUUUAAAAUUUAAUGCUAAUUUU